rnacentral:rRNA from 1 species
GUACACUCCUACGGGAGGCAGCAGUGAGGAAUAUUGGACAAUGGGUGGAAGCCUGAUCCAGCCAUCCCGCGUGCAGGAAGACGGCCCUAUGGGUUGUAAACUGCUUUUAUCUGGGGAUAAACCUACUUACGUGUAAGUAGCUGAAGGUACCAGAAGAAUAAGCACCGGCUAACUCCGUGCCAGCAGCCGCGGUAAUACGGAGGGUGCAAGCGUUAUCCGGAUUUAUUGGGUUUAAAGGGUCCGUAGGCGGACUGAUAAGUCAGUGGUGAAAUCCGACAGCUUAACUGUCGAACUGCCAUUGAUACUGUUAGUCUUGAGUAAGGUUGAAGUGGCUGGAAUAAGUAGUGUAGCGGUGAAAUGCAUAGAUAUUACUUAGAACACCAAUUGCGAAGGCAGGUCACUAAGUCUUAACUGACGCUGAUGGACGAAAGCGUGGGGAGCGAACAGGAUUAGAAACCCCGGUAGUCCCAUG